UGCGGGUGGGAAUUCUGGAAUCGGCUUCGAGUGGUGCAUAUUUUCUAGUGAUGGUGUAGGAUGUAGUCCGAUCUGUUGUGUGACAGUGAAGUUAUUCUCCACCAAGAUUGAAAACGAGGAAUUCGAAUUACCACGGUAUCCGUGAAUCGUGGCAAGGAGUCUAUUGUAACGUUACGUAACUGCGAGUGUUGGUAAACUGAAGGAGCAUGGCGCUGAGGCUCGUGAACUGGCGGCUAAGGCCAAGUACUACGACAUGGCAGCUGCUGUUCAGUCAAUGUUGACAAUAGCUUAGGACAUAUAGAUGUGAUUGAUUUCAACGGUGUAAGUGCGCAGUGAAAGCCUGGUCUCAUAAUAUACAUUCCAUGAGUUCAAGGCUUACGUGUUCGAAUUAGAAGUAUGGGUUCAAAAUAUUACCAAGAAAAUGGACGUACGCAGAUGUUUAGGUUGCUAUGCAUGCAUACUAAGAGGUCAAAGCCGAAAUUGACGGCUGCCAGAUCCAAUUUUGUACCCUCAAAAAUUAUGGCCGGCGCGUGGUUCAAUAACAAGAUACUCUGAAGGACAAUCGGUAGAUGUUCAUACGAGCCGGAAGAACUGAGAAGGACCUUGGCUGCUACCUGGGAGGAGAUUUAAGCUCUGUUGAGUUAAUGCGCAAUGACAAGAACUCUGCCAUUUUAAAUUCGACAGAAUGUGCCACGAAAAAAGUGUGAAAGAAAGACUGUUUUGAAAGAAUCAUUGUUGCUGAAGGCCCUUUUAUCUGUGGAUUCAGAUUCGUGAUUGAUUGUGAUCUUCGAGUUUGGUCGCUGUCACUGAUGUCAUCGCUGUCGUCGUGUUUUCUUUUCUGCUUCCAUUCUUUAAGGACUUGGGAAUCGACCGUAUUGUUUUCUACUUUCAAAACCUGUAAGUGUGUAAGGGGGGGGCGGAUGGGUGAGUUGGAUAAGGCGUCACUUGGUGAUCGGGGCACUUCGUGAUCCGAGUUCAACUCUCCUGGUGAGCAUAGUUGCUCCCACAUCCGGGCACGCACCACUACACGGACAGUUCACACCUCUUCCUAACGAAAUGAUGGUACUUCCAUCGCCCUCUUCCACACAAAUAUACACACUACAACAUUUACACUGCUCACGGUGUGUAAGGGCCCCUACUAUGGCGGCCCGUAAACUGUAACCAGUGGCAACUAGCCAUGGCCAGUGGCACCUAAAUGAAU